rnacentral:rRNA from 1 species
AAUCAACGCUGGCGGCGUGCCUCAGACAUGCAAGUCGAACGAUUAAAGCUCUCUUCGGAGAGUGCAUAGAGUGGCGCACGGGUGAGUAACACGUAAGUAAUCUACCUUUGGGUGGGGAAUAACGUCCGGAAACGGACGCUAAUACCGCAUAAUGCAGCGGCAUCGCAAGAUGACAGUUGUUAAAGAUUUAUCGCUUGAAGAGGAGCUUGCGGCAGAUUAGCUAGUUGGUAAGGUAAUGGCUUACCAAGGCUACGAUCUGUAACCGGUCUAAGAGGACGGUCGGUCACACUGACACUGAAUAACGGGUCAGACUCCUACGGGAGGCAGCAGUCGGGAAUUUUGGGCAAUGGGCGAAAGCCUGACCCAGCAACGCCGCGUGAAGGAUGAAGUAUUUCGGUAUGUAAACUUCGAAAGAAUGGGAAGAAUAAAUGACGGUACCAUUUAUAAGGUCCGGCUAACUACGUGCCAGCAGCCGCGGUAAUAC